rnacentral:rRNA from 1 species
AUUGAACGCUGGCGGCAGGCCUAACACAUGCAAGUCGACCGAGUGGCGGACGGGUGAGUAAUGUCUGGGGAACUGCCUGAUGGAGGGGGAUAACUACUGGAAACGGUAGCUAAUACCGCAUACCAUCAGAUGUACCCAUAUGGGAUUAGCUGGUAGGGGGGGUAACGGCUCACCUAGGCGACGAUCCCUAGCUGGUCUGAGAGGAUGACCAGCCACACUGGGACUGAGACACGGCCCAGACUCCUACGGGAGGCAGCAGUGGGGAAUAUUGCACAAUGGGCGCAAGCCUGAUGCAGCCAUGCCGCGUGUAUGAAGAAGGCCUUCGGGUUGUAAAGUACUUUCAGUCGGGAGGCGUUACCGACAGAAGAAGCACCGGCUAACUCCGUGCCAGCAGCCGCGGUAAUUC